rnacentral:rRNA from 1 species
UACGGAGGGUGCGAGCGUUGUCCGGAAUCAUUGGGCGUAAAGGGCGCGUAGGCGGCUCAUGAAGGCUGUGGUGAAAGUCCGGGGCUCAACCUCGGAUCGGCCGUGGCGACUCGUGGGCUGGAGCACUGUAGAGGCGGGUGGAAUUCCGGGUGUAGCGGUGGAAUGCGUAGAGAUCCGGAAGAACACCAGUGGCGAAGGCGGCCCGCUGGGCAGUGGCUGACGCUGAGGCGCGACAGCGUGGGGAGCAAACAGG